rnacentral:misc_RNA from 1 species
GGCAAUGGGGCCAAAAAAGGAGGUAAGAAUGAUGGCCUCCAUGAGUUUGACAAGUUAGAUAUUGGCUUCCAUGACCUUGAUAUUUCCAAACCAAGCAAAGGAGGAAAAGGAAGUGGUGGAAAUGGAGGUGGUAAUGGUAAUGUUAAUGGUAAUGGUAAGAAUAUGGGGCAGAUGAGCCAAAUGGGCCAAAUGGGCCAUGCUAAUGGAAACAGAGGACAGAUGGGCCAUAUGGGGCAGAUGGGCCCAAUGGGACAGAUGGGGCCUGGUAGUGGCAAUAGGGCCCCACCAAUGGGAAAUUAUGCAAUGAAUCAGAUGGGUAACAUUCCAGCAGUACAAGGUCUACCAGCUCAACAAAUGAUGAGUGGAGGAGGAGGAUAUUAUCAAGGAAUGGGACAAGGGAAUCCUUACAGCCAACAACAACAACAGUACAUGGCUAUGAUGAUGAACCAACAAAGGGGAGUUGGGAAUGAUAUGUUCCAACCCAUGAUGUAUUCGCGCCCGAACCCAGCCGUGAACUACGCUCCACCGCCACCAAUGUUCCCUCCGGUUGCUACUGACCAGUACACACAUUUCUUCAGCGACGAGAACACGGAUAGUUGCAGUAUCAUGUAAAUUUUGGCCUUAAAACAUAAUUUCCCUUGGUUUAUUUUCUAGGAUUAGUGUUUUUGUGGUAGUUAUAUAGCUUUAGUUGAAUGUAGAAAAUGGGUGCAAGGGUUUUAUAGUACCAUUGCUUGUGUUACUUGAGAAAAAAAGAAGGAAAAAUAUUGGGAUCAAAACUUUGAUUCAUUCACUGUUUAGUCCCUCAAAAACCCACUUAUUAUUAUUUUACUGUUUUUCUCUUGUAUUUUUUGCCCUUUUGUCAUUAUAAUGACUUUUCAACUUGCAGAGAUAUAAUAAAAACAGAGUCCUUAGGGCUCCACAGUACCUUAUCAUGA